AAACCAAAGAUCUAUCUCUCAAAGGGUUAGCUCUUAAAGAAUGAGCUCCCAAAGCCAAACUCCUAAAGGUCAAACUCCCAAAGGCUGAACUUCCAAAAGCUAAGUUCCUAAAGAUCGAGAUCCUAAGGCCAAGUUGAGAAGACUAAGGUGAAAAGAUCAAUUUGACAAGACUGAGGAAGAAGAUUGAGGUAAAAACUAACUAAAAUCAGGUCGAUCAGAAGAAGUAAGAUCGUAUCCUACUUUAAUUUUCUCAUCUACUUUAAUUUUAUUGCUUUUAUUUUAAAGUUCUUCCUGACUUAAGUAUCAGAGGAUUUGAUCGAAGCCAAUUCAAUGAGCUUUUCUCAUCUUUUUUCAUGUAGAUCAACAUCUCUUUAUGGAUUAACUAAUACCUUCUAGGCCAUCAUAGUCAGGCAAGAUUUUAGCAUCAAUAGAAUGGC
rnacentral:lncRNA from 1 species